GGAGUUAGCCGGUGCUUCUUCUGCGAGUAACGUCACAGAUGUAAGGUAUUAACUUACACCCUUUCCUCCUCGCUGAAAGUGCUUUACAACCCGAAGGCCUUCUUCACACACGCGGCAUGGCUGCAUCAGGGUUUCCCCCAUUGUGCAAUAUUCCCCACUGCUGCCUCCCGUAGGAGUCUGGGCCGUGUCUCAGUCCCAGUGUGGCUGAUCAUCCUCUCAGACCAGCUAGGGAUCGUCGCCUAGGUGAGCCUUUACCUCACCUACUAGCUAAUCCCACCUGGGCUUAUCCAUCAGCGCAAGGCCCGAAGGUCCCCUGCUUUCCCCCGUAGGGCGUAUGCGGUAUUAGCAGUCGUUUCCAACUGUUAUCCCCCACAAAUGGGCAAAUUCCCAGGCAUUACUCACCCGUCCGCCGCUCGUCAUCUUCAAAAGCAAGCUUUUGAAAUGUUACCGCUCGAACUUGCAUGUGUUAGGCCUGCCGCCAGCGUUCAAUCUGAGCCAGAAUCAAAACUCUGA
rnacentral:rRNA from 1 species